AUGAGCGGCUAUAUAUAGUAAUAUAUAUAGAAAAUAGGGUGAAUUGCGGGAAAUCCAUAAAAUAUGGACAAUCCGCAGCGAAGAUUAAUCUAUAUACAUAUUUUUAUAAUAAUAAAAUAUGAAGGAUUAAUAACGUUCAACGACUAGUUAUUGAGUAAUAUAACAAUAAAAUAACCACGAGCGCCCUACAUCCAUAUUAAAUAUAAAUAUAUGGAUGAUGAGAUAGUCUAAAUUACAUAGUAAUAUGUAU
rnacentral:ncRNA from 1 species